rnacentral:misc_RNA from 1 species
AAGUCGUAACAAGGUUUCCGUAGGUGAACCUGCGGAAGGAUCAUUAUAAAAUGCUUAAAUGCAUCCACCUUUUGUGCACAGACCAAAUGACCUUGACGUUGCUUCGAAUUACAUAUUUAUGUAGUUUGACUUGGUUUUCAGGCCGGAGUUUCCCGCUAGAAAAUUAAGCGGCACGUCAUAGGAUUCUACACACAUUAUGAACUUUAGUCUGAAUGUAAAUUUAUUUUAAUAAAUAAAAAUUUUAAUAAAAUACAACUUUUAACAACGGAUCUCUUGGCUCU